CCACAGCACUGUGGCCUGGCAACAGAGCGAGACUCCGUCUCAAUAAAAAAAGAAAAAAGAAAGAAAAACAAAGACUGAGGGAUGGGAGGAAUGGGAAGAUGAUGAUCAAAGGGUACAAAAUCUCAGACAGGAGAAAUUUUAUUUUCUCUUUUUUGAGUUCUAUUGCAUAAUGUGGUGAAUAUUCAAAAUAGCUCAGAGAGUAAAUUUCAAGUGUUCACACCACAAAAAGUUAAGUAUUUGAGGUGAUGGCUGUGUUAAUUACCUUGAUUAAAUUAUUCUACAUUGUAUUCAGAGGUUAUAAUAUCACCUUGUAACCUAUAAAUUUAUGUCAUUAUAAAUUUUCAAUUUAUAAUUAAGAAAAAACACUUGGGGCCAGAUUAGCAUCAGAAGUGAUUUUUUAAAUAUUUACAAGAUACAAUACAUUUCAUAUAGUGUAUGGCAUUUCAUAUAGUGUAAGAUAAACAAAAGCUAUUUAUAUCUCAGAAAAAAAAGACCUUGCUUCCAUUCCAUGCAUCUUUUUAAGUGUUAAAAUAUAAAUGUUGAGAACAGCGCAAGAUGGCCAACUUCGUUGAUUGUGUGUUGGAUGAGGAGAAGGUACGCAUAGCUGCUGAAUUCAUCACUCAUGCACCCCCAGGGGAAUUUAAUGAAGUAUUCGGUGAUGUUCGGCUACUACGUAAUAAUGACAACCUCCUCAGGGAAAGGGCAGAACAUCCAUUUGCUCAUUACAACGUGAAUCAGUUCACACCUGUGAAGACAGAAGGAUAUGAAGAUCAGGUCUUAAUUACAGAGCAUGGUGACCUGGGCAAUAUCAGAGUUUUAGAUCCAAGAAACAAAUUUUCCUUUAAAUUUGAUCACUUACAGAAAGAAGCAAGUGACCCCCAGCCAGAACAAGUAGAUGGAGGUCUGAAGUCUUGGAGAUAAUCCUGUGACAGUGCUUUAAGAGCCUGUGUGAAAGACCAUUAUUCCAACUGCUUCUGUACUGUUUAUGCUAAAACUAUCAAUGGGCAACAGACUAUUAUUGCGUGUAUUGAAAGCCACCAGAGUCAGCCUAAAAACUUAUGGAAUGGUCGUUGGAGAUCAGAGUGGAAGUUGACCAUCACACCACCUACAGGCCAGGUGGUUGGAGUGCUUAAGAUUCAGGUUCACUAUUAUGAAGAUGGCAAUGUUCAGUUGGUUAGUCAUAAAGAUGUACAUGAUUCACUGACUGUUUCGAAUGACACACAAACUGCCGAGGAGUUUAUUAAAAUCAUGGAGAAUGCAGAAAAUGAGCGUCAGACAGCAAUUAGUGAAAACUAUCAAACAAUGUCAGAUACCACAUUCAAGGUCUUGGCGCCGGCAGCUUCCAGGUACCCGCACCAAAAUCGACUAGAACAAGAUACUCAGCUACAACAUUGCCAAAGAAAUGCAGAAUGCCUAAAGGCUGAAUGUAGGAUUCUUCACUAUGUGGAAAGACAAGGAUUCAACGUGUGGUCAUAUGAUAAAUAAGUGAUUUAUAAACAAGAGUGCUAUUUUGC